rnacentral:rRNA from 1 species
GACGAACGCUGGCGGCGUGCUUAACACAUGCAAGUCGAACGGAAAGGCCCUGCUUUUGUGGGGUGCUCGAGUGGCGAACGGGUGAGUAACACGUGAGUAACCUGCCCUUGACUUUGGGAUAACUUCAGGAAACUGGGGCUAAUACCGGAUAGGAGCUCCUGCUGCAUGGUGGGGGUUGGAAAGUUUCGGCGGUUGGGGAUGGACUCGCGGCUUAUCAGCUUGUUGGUGGGGUAGUGGCUUACCAAGGCUUUGACGGGUAGCCGGCCUGAGAGGGUGACCGGCCACAUUGGGACUGAGAUACGGCCCAGACUCCUACGGGAGGCAGCAGUGGGGAAUAUUGCACAAUGGGCGGAAGCCUGAUGCAACAACGCCGCGUGCGGGAUGACGGCCUUCGGGUUGUAAACCGCUUUCGCCUGUGACGAAGCGUGAGUGACGGUAAUGGGUAAAGAAGCACCGGCUAACUACGUGCCAUCAGCCGCGGUGAUACGUAGGGUGCGAGCGUUGUCCGGAUUUAUUGGGCGUAAAGGGCUCGUAGGUGGUUGAUCGCGUCGGAACUGUAAUCUUGGGGCUUAACCCUGAGCGUGCUUUCGAUACGGGUUGACUUGAGGAAGGUAGGGGAGAAUGGAAUUCCUGGUGGAGCGGUGGAAUGCGCAGAUAUCAGGAGGAACACCAGUGGCGAAGGCGGUUCUCUGGGCCUUUCCUGACGCUGAGGAGCGAAAGCGUGGGGAGCGAACAGGCUUAGAUACCCUGGUAGUCCACGCUGUAAACGGUGGGUACUAGGUGUGGGGUCCAUUCCACGGGUUCCGUGCCGUAGCUAACGCUUUAAGUACCCCGCCUGGGGAGUACGGCCGCAAGGCUAAAACUCAAAGGAAUUGACGGGGCCCCGCACAAGCGGCGGAGCAUGCGGAUUAAUUCGAUGCAACGCGUAGAACCUUACCUGGGUUUGACAUGGAUCGGGAGUGCUCAGAGAUGGGUGUGCCUCUUUUGGGGUCGGUUCACAGGUGGUGCAUGCCUGUCGUCAGCUCGUGUCGUGAGAUGUUGGGUUAAGUCCCGCAACGAGCGCAACCCUUGUUCACUGUUGCCAGCACGUUAUGGUGGGGACUCAGUGGAGACCGCCGGGGUCAACUCGGAGGAAGGUGGGGAUGACGCCAAGUCAUCAUGCCCCUUAUGUCCAGGGCUUCACGCAUGCUACAAUGGCUGGUACAGAGAGUGGCGAGCCUGUGAGGGUGAGCGAAUCUCGGAAAGCCGGUCUCAGUUCGGAUUGGGGUCUGCAACUCGACCUCAUGAAGUCGGAGUCGCUAGUAAUCGCAGAUCAGCAACGCUGCGGUGAAUACGUUCCCGGGG